AGAGCGAACGCUGGCGGCAGGCCUAACACAUGCAAGUCGAGCGCCCGUAGCAAUACGGGAGCGGCAGACGGGAUAGUAACACGUGGGAACGCGCCCUUCGGUUCGGAAUAACUCAGGGAAACUUGAGCUAAUACCGAAUACGCCCUUACGGGGAAAGAUUUAUUGCCGAAGGAACGGCCCGCGUCCGAUUAGCUAGUUGGUGAGGUAAUGGCUCACCAAGGCUACGAUCGGUAGCUGGUCUGAGAGGAUGACCAGCAUCACUGGGACUGAGACACGGCCCAGACUCCUACGGGAGGCAGCAGUGGGGAAUAUGGACAAUGGGCGAAAGCCUGAUCCAGCCAUGCCGCGUGGAUGAUGAAGGCCUUAGGGUUGUAAAGUCCUUUAACGGGAAGAUAAUGACGGUACCGUAGAAUAAGCCCGGCUAACUUCGUGCCAGCAGCCGC
rnacentral:rRNA from 1 species